CCUACGGGUGGCAGCAGUGAGGAAUAGUGGUCAAUGGACGAGAGUCUGAACCAGCCAAGUAGCGUGAAGGAUGACUGCCCUAUGGGUUGUAAACUUCUUUUAUAAAGGAAUAAAACGAGGCACGUGUGCCUUUUUGCAUGUACUUUAUGAAUAAGGAUCGGCUAACUCCGUGCCAGCAGCCGCGGUAAUACGGAGGAUCCGAGCGUUCUCCGGAUUUAUUGGGUUUAAAGGGAGCGUAGAGGGGUUGGUAAGUCCGUUGGUAAAGUUUGCGGCGCAACCGUAAAAUUGCUCUUGAUACGGGCAGUCUUGUGUCCAGUUGAGGUCAGCUGUCUUCGUGUUGUAGCGG
rnacentral:rRNA from 1 species